CUACGGGCGGCUGCAGUGGGGAAUAUUGGACAAUGGGCGAAAGCCUGAUCCAGCCAUGCCGCGUGUGUGAAGAAGGCCUUCGGGUUGUAAAGCACUUUCAGUGGGGAAGAAAGCCUUGGGGCUAAUACCCUCGAGGAAGGACAUCACCCACAGAAGAAGCACCGGCUAACUCCGUGCCAGCAGCCGCGGUAAUACGGAGGGUGCGAGCGUUAAUCGGAAUUACUGGGCGUAAAGCGCGCGUAGGCGGUCUGAUAAGCCGGUUGUGAAAGCCCCGGGCUCAACCUGGGAACGGCAUCCGGAACUGUCAGGCUAGAGUGCAGGAGAGGAAGGUAGAAUUCCCGGUGUAGCGGUGAAAUGCGUAGAGAUCGGGAGGAAUACCAGUGGCGAAGGCGGCCUUCUGGACUGACACUGACGCUGAGGUGCGAAAGCGUGGGUAGCAAACAGGAUUAGAUACCCUUGUAGUC
rnacentral:rRNA from 1 species